GGUUGUGGCUCAGCGGAAGAGUGCUCACCUAGCAUGUGGGAGGCCUGGGUUCGAUCCAUAGCACCA
rnacentral:tRNA from 1 species